GGGGGUGACUUGGCUUCGACAGGAGUAGUGAAGUCACGGUGGCAUGCAGCUUUGGGCAAAGCUUAAAAAGCCUAAAAUUAAAAUUAAACGCAAAUAACGUUAAAUUCGCUCCUGCUUACGCUAAAGCUGCGUAAGUUCAGUUGAGCCCUGCAAAACUUUGAUACUAUCUAGGAGUUUUUUGCGGGUAAUUUUCGAUAGUGUAGGUUCUAAAUUUGACGAGUUUAGGGCCCAAAUUUAGUCUUAGCUUAGUCAAGUGUUUUGGGAAAUGAGCAUGACUAAGUGAAAUUUUCAUUUCUGCUAAGCAUGUAGAGGCUGUGGGUUUGUUAUUUUUGGACUGCGGUUCGAUCCCGCACACCUCCACCA
rnacentral:tmRNA from 2 species